AUGAACGCUGGCGGCGUGCCUAAUACAUGCCAGUCGAGCGAACAGACGAGGAGCUUGCUCCUCUGACGUUAGCGGCGGACGGGUGAGUAACACGUGGAUAACCUACCUAUAAGACUGGGAUAACUUCGGGAAACCGGAGCUAAUACCGGAUAAUAUAUUGAACCUCCUGGUUCAAUAGUGAAAGACGGUUUUGCUGUCACUUAUAUAUGUAUCCGCGCCGCAUUAGCUAGUUGGUAAGGUAACGGCUUACCAAGGCAACGAUGCGUAGCCGACCUGAGAGGGUGAUCGGACACACUGGAACUGAGACACGGUCCAGACUCCUACGGGAGGAAGCAGUAGGGAAUCUUCCGAAAUGGGCGAAAGCCUGACGGAGCAACGCCGCGUGAGUGAUGAAGGUCUUCGGAUCGUAAAACUCUGUUAGUAGGGAAGAACAAAUGUGUAAGUAACUAUGCACGUAUUGACGGUACCUAAUCAGAAAGCCACGGCUAACUACGUG
rnacentral:rRNA from 1 species